ACGUUCGGAUUGAAGGCUGAAAUUCGCCUUCAUGAAGCCGGAAUUGCUAGUAAUGGCAGGUCAGCAUACUGCCGUGAAUACGUUCCCGGGCCUUGUACACACCGCCCGUCACACCAUGAGAGUUGGGAAUACCCGAAGCCUGUGAGCUAACUUUUAGAGGCAGCAGUCGAAGGUAGAAUCAAUGAUUGGGGUGAAGUCGUAACAAGGUAGC
rnacentral:rRNA from 1 species